GACGAACCGAGCGAACGUUGUUCGGAAUCACUGGGCUUAAAGGGUGCGUAGGCGGCUUGUCAAGUCAGGGGUGAAAUCUUUCGGCUCAACCGGAAAAGUGCCCUUGAUACUGACAGGCUCGAGGGAGGUAGGGGCAUGUGGAACUUCUGGUGGAGCGGUGAAAUGCGUUGAUAUCAGAAGGAACGCCGGUGGCGAAAGCGACGUGCUGGACCUCUUCUGACGCUGAGGCGCGAAAGCUAGGGGAGCAAACGGG
rnacentral:rRNA from 1 species